rnacentral:rRNA from 1 species
UGAGGAAUAUUGGUCAAUGGGCGAGAGCCUGAACCAGCCAAGUAGCGUGCAGGACGACGGCCCUAUGGGUUGUAAACUGCUUUUGUAUGGGGAUAAAGUCAAUCACGUGUGAUUGUUUGCAGGUACCAUACGAAUAAGGACCGGCUAAUUCCGUGCCAGCAGCCGCGGUAAUACGGAAGGUCCGGGCGUUAUCCGGAUUUAUUGGGUUUAAAGGGAGCGUAGGCUGGAGAUUAAGUGUGUUGUGAAAUGUAGACGCUCAACGUCUGACUUGCAGCGCAUACUGGUUUCCUUGAGUACGCACAACGUUGGCGGAAUUCGUCGUGUAGCGGUGAAAUGCUUAGAUAUGACGAAGAACUCCGAUUGCGAAGGCAGCUGACGGGAGCGCAACUGACGCUGAAGCUCGAAGGUGCGGGUAUCGAACAGGAUUAGAUACCCUGGUAGUCCGCACAGUAAACGAUGGAUGCCCGCUGUUGGUACUUGGUAUCAGCGGCUAAGCGAAAGCAUUAAGCAUCCCACCUGGGGAGUACGCCGGCAACGGUG